rnacentral:rRNA from 1 species
UACGUAGGGUGCAAGCGUUUGUCCGGAAUUAUUGGGCGUAAAGAGCUCGUAGGUGGCUCGUUGCGUUCGGGGAGUGAAAACCUGCGGCUUAACCGCAGCCUGCUUCCGAUACGGGCCGAGCUAGAGUUCGGCAGGGGAGACUGGAAUUCCUGGUGUAGCGGUGGAAUGCGCAGAUAUCAGGAGGAACGCCGGUGGCGAAGGCGGGUCUCUGGGCCGAUACUGACACUGAGAAGCGAAAGCGUGGGGAGCGAACAGG